ACGGGAGGCAGCAGUGGGGAAUAUUGGGCAAUGCGCGAAAGCCUGACCCAGCAACGCCGCGUGAAGGAAGAAGGCCUUCGGGUUGUAAACUUCUUUUAUCAGGGACGAAGGACGUGACGGUACCUGAUGAAUAAGCCACGGCUAACUACGUGCCAGCAGCCGCGGUAAUACGUAGGUGGCGAGCGUUAUCCGGAUUUACUGGGUGUAAAGGGCGCGUAGGCGGGGAUGCAAGUCAGAUGUGAAAUCUAUGGGCUUAACCCAUAAACUGCAUUUGUAACUGUAUCUCUUGAGUGUCGGAGAGGUAGAUGGAAUUCCUAGUGUAGCGGUGAAAUGCGUAGAUAUUAGGAGGAACACCAGUGGCGAAGGCGAUCUACUGGACGAUAACUGACGCUGAGGCUCGAAAGUGCGGGUAGCAAACAGGAUUAGAUACCCUGGUA
rnacentral:rRNA from 1 species